UACGUAGGUGGCGAGCGUUGUCCGGAUUUACUGGGCGUAAAGAGCGCGCAGGCGGUCGUUCAAGUCGCGUGUGAAAGCCCCCGGCUCAACUGGGGAGGGUCACGCGAUACUGAUCGACUCGAAGGCAGGAGAGGGAAGUGGAAUUCCCGGUGUAGUGGUGAAAUGCGUAGAUAUCUGGAGGAACACCGGUGGCGAAGGCGGCAUCCUGGACCAACACUGACGCUGAGGAGCGAAAGCCAGGGGAGCAAACGGG
rnacentral:rRNA from 1 species